GGGCGCGGCCGGGCCUCGGCCCCUCACGCAGCGCGCGACCUUGGUGGGUUUAAUGUCCCGCUGCCAAAUCCAAUACAGUGCAGAAAGAGCAGGUUCCUAAAUGGAGCUGAAGAAUAGGGUUUCCAUGUGAGCGAUUGAGCUCCUUGUGGAAUCCUCAGUGGCUGAGGACAAAUCAACGCACCUUCAUGACAGGUGGCUGUUCUAGUGCAGAUGAGCACUGCAGUGGAGGUGGAGAGAGCUCCCAGAGCUGGUGUUCAUCGCACCCCAGAGCAGCCCUGACGACCUUUAGGUGCUGUUUAGGACAGAGAGCAGCGCAGCUCGGUGCUCCUGACGGAUCAGUUGCUGUGCAGACUGUGCUGCCCUCAGUGCUCUGGAUGUGUUCUCACCCCAUCUGGACACUGCUGAAUGUGUACGACUUUUCUGGUGGCCAUGACAAAACUCAUAGCAGUAAACACAGCUUUGAGGGACAGUG
rnacentral:lncRNA from 12 species